AGCCAAGUCGCGUGAGGGAAGACGGUCCUACGGAUUGUAAACCUCUUUUGCCGGGGAGCAACGGGGUCCUUGCGAGGGCCCUAUGAGAGUACCCGGAGAAAAAGCAUCGGCUAACUCCGUGCCAGCAGCCGCGGUAAUACGGAGGAUGCGAGCGUUGUCCGGAUUUAUUGGGUUUAAAGGGUGCGUAGGCGGGCUGUUAAGUCAGCGGUCAAAUGUCGGGGCUCAACCCCGGCCUGCCGUUGAAACUGGCGGCCUCGAGUGGGCGAGAAGUAUGCGGAAUGCGUGGUGUAGCGGUGAAAUGCAUAGAUAUCACGCAGAACUCCGAUUGCGAAGGCAGCAUACCGGCGCCCUACUGACGCUGAGGCACGAAAGCGUGGGUAUCGAACAGGAUUAGAUACCCUGGUAGUCCACGCAGUAAACGAUGAAUGCUAGCUGUCCGGG
rnacentral:rRNA from 1 species